GGACCUCUCGGGGUUACAGCCUUGCUGAAUUAUUCACCCUUGUCUUUUGCGUACUUCUUGUUUCCUUGGUGGGUUCGCCCACCACUAGGACAAACAUAAACCUUUUGUAAUUGCAAUCAGCGUCAGUAACAAAUUAAUAAUUACAACUUUCAACAACGGAUCUCUUGGUUCUGGCAUCGAUGAAGAACGCAGCGAAAUGCGAUAAGUAGUGUGAAUUGCAGAAUUCAGUGAAUCAUCGAAUCUUUGAACGCACAUUGCGCCCUUUGGUAUUCCAAAGGGCAUGCCUGUUCGAGCGUCAUUUGUACCCUCAAGCUUUGCUUGGUGUUGGGCGUCUUGUCUCUAGCUUUGCUGGAGACUCGCCUUAAAGUAAUUGGCAGCCGGCCUACUGGUUUCGGAGCGCAGCACAAGUCGCACUCUCUAUCAGCAAAGGUCUAGCAUCCAUUAAGCCUUUUUUCAACUUUUGACCUCGGAUCAGGUAGGGAUACCCGCUGAACUUAAGCAUAUCAAUAAGCGGAGGA
rnacentral:rRNA from 1 species